CAAGCGUUGUCCGGAUUUAUUGGGCGUAAAGCGAGCGCAGGCGGUUUUUUAAGUCUGAUGUGAAAGCCUUCGGCUCAACCGAAGAAGUGCAUCGGAAACUGGGAAACUUGAGUGCAGAAGAGGACAGUGGAACUCCAUGUGUAGCGGUGAAAUGCGUAGAUAUAUGGAAGAACACCAGUGGCGAAGGCGGCUGUCUGGUCUGUAACUGACGCUGAGGCUCGAAAGUAUGGGUAGCAAACAGGAUUAGAUACCCUGGUAGUCCAUACCGUAAACGAUGAAUGCUAAGUGUUGGAGGGUUUCCGCCCUUCAGUGCUGCAGCUAACGCAUUAAGCAUUCCGCCUGGGGAGUACGGCCGCAAGGCUGAAACUCAAAGGAAUUGACGGGGGCCCGCACAAGCGGUGGAGCAUGUGGUUUAAUUCGAAGCUACGCGAAGAACCUUACCAGGUCUUGACAUACUAUGCAAAUCUAAGAGAUUAGACGUUCCCUUCGGGGACAUGGAUACAGGUGGUGCAUGGUUGUCGUCAGCUCGUGUCGUGAGAUGUUGGGUUAAGUCCCGCAACGAGCGCAACCCUUAUUAUCAGUUGCCAGCAUUAAGUUGGGCACUCUGGUGAGACUGCCGGUGACAAACCGGAGGAAGGUGGGGAUGACGUCAAAUCAUCAUGCCCCUUAUGACCUGGGCUACACACGUGCUACAAUGGAUGGUACAACGAGUUGCGAACUCGCGAGAGUAAGCUAAUCUCUUAAAGCCAUUCUCAGUUCGGAUUGUAGGCUGCAACUCGCCUACAUGAAGUCGGAAUCGCUAGUAAUCGCGGAUCAGCAUGCCGCGGUGAAUACGUUCCCGGGCCUUGUACACACCGCCCGUCACACCAUGAGAGUUUGUAACACCCAAAGUCGGUGGGGUAACCUUUUAGGAACCAGCC
rnacentral:rRNA from 2 species